rnacentral:rRNA from 1 species
UUAAGUAAGAAAGGGCGUACGGUGGAUGCCUAGGCACUUGAAACUGAAGAAGGACGCAACAAACGGCGAAACGCGGCGGGGAGCUGUACGUAAGCAAAGAUCCGCCGGUAUCCGAAUGGGGGAACCCGGCAUGCGUAAUAGCAUGUCAUCCGCAGAUGAACAAAUAGUCUGCGAGAGAGGUACCCGGGGAACUGAAACAUCUAAGUACCCGGAGGAAAAGAAAACAACAGUGAUUCCCUGAGUAGCGGCGAGCGAAAGGGGAGGAGCCCAAACCAGACCGAGGUCUGGGGUUGAAGGACCGCGAUACGGCAAGAAUCAUGGUAGGAGAACGGCAUUGAAAGGCCGACCGGAGAGGGUGCAAGUCCCGUAUCCGAAACCGUGAGGAAGCCCAGCGGGAUCCUGAGUACGGCGAGACACGAGAAAUCUUGUCGGAAGCAGGCGGGACCAUCCGUCAAGGCUAAAUAUAAGCAAGUGACCGAUAGUGAACCAGUACCGUGAGGGAAAGGUGAAAAGAACCGCGGGAGCGGAGUGAAACAGAACCUGAAACCGUAUGCUUACAAGAAGUCAGAGCACGUUAAGGUGUGAUGGCGUGCCUUUUGUAGAAUGAACCGGCGAGUUAUGUUAUCGUGCGAGGUUAAGCAGGAGAUGCGGAGCCGAAGCGAAAGCGAGUCUUAAUAGGGCGGCAGUACGAUGACAUAGACCCGAAACCGUGUGAUCUAGCCAUGACCAGGUUGAAGUUCAGGUGAAACUGAAUGGAGGACCGAACCGACCCCCGUUGAAAAGUUGGCGGAUGAGUUGUGGCUAGGGGAGAAAUUCCAAUCGAACACGGAUAUAGCUGGUUCUCCCCGAAAUAGCUUUAGGGCUAGCGUCGAGGAUGAGUCUUGUGGAGGUAGAGCACUGAAUGUACGAUGGCCCCAUCCCGGGGUACUGAGUAUAAUCAAACUCCGAAUGCCAUGAGAUAUUCCCGGCAGUCAGACCGUGGGUGAUAAGGUCCAUGGUCAAAAGGGAAACAGCCCAGACCGCCAGUUAAGGUCCCAAAAUGUAUGCUAAGUGGAAAAGGAUGUGGGGAUGCACAGACAACUAGGAGGUUGGCUCAGAAGCAGCCAUCCUUCAAAGAGUGCGUAACAGCUCACUAGUCGAGUGACCCUGCGCCGAAAAUGUACCGGGGCUAAGCAUACUACCGAAGCUGCGGAUUUGUAGUAAUACAAGUGGUAGGGGAGCGUUCCAUGCACGUGGAAGCCAUACCGAAAGGAGUGGUGGAGAGCAUGGAAGUGAGAAUGCCGGUGUGAGUAGCGAGAUGCAGGUGAGAAUCCUGCACACCGAUAGCCCAAGGAUUCCAGGGGAAGGUUCGUCCGCCCUGGGUAAGUCGGGACCUAAGGCGAGGCCGAAAGGCGUAGUCGAUGGAAAACAGGCAGAUAUUCCUGUACCCGCGAUGGAAAUGAAGGAAUGACGGAGAAGGCUAGCAUGAGCCACUUAUUGGAUUGUGGUCGAAGCGAAUAGCAGGUGCAUAGUAAAAUGCGUGCACGGGAUGUAAAACGUGACAGGUAAGCGAAACCUUUGGGGAGUAGCGAAGCAUGCGAGGCCAGCUUCCAGGAAAAGUUUCUAGUGCUGAUUCCAUAGCGGCCCGUACCAAAACCGACACAGGUGGGCAAGGAGAGUAUCCUGAGGUGAGCGAGAGAACUGUUGCCAAGGAACUCGGCAAAAUGACUCCGUAAGUUAGCGAGAAGGAGUGCUUAUGAAAGUAAGCCGCAGUGAAGAGGCCCAAGCGACUGUUUAACUAAAACACAGCUCUCUGCGAAGUCGCAAGACGAAGUAUAGGGGGUGACGCCUGCCCGGUGCUGGAAGGUUAAGAGGAUUUGUCAGUUUCGACGAAGCAAUGAAUUGAAGCCCCAGUGAACGGCGGCCGUAACUAUAACGGUCCUAAGGUAGCGAAAUUCCUUGUCAGGUAAGUUCUGACCCGCACGAAAGGCGUAACGAUUUGGGCGCUGUCUCGGCAGCAGACUCGGUGAAAUCUUAGUACCUGUGAAAAUGCAGGUUACCCGCAACUAGACGGAAAGACCCCAUGGAGCUUUACUGCAGCCUGAUAUUGGAUUUUGAUCAGAGAUGUACAGGAUAGGUGGGAGACGAAGAAGGAUGCACGCCAGUGUAUCUGGAGUCGACGUUGGGAUACCACUCUUGUCUGAUUGGAGUUCUAACCUGCGUCCAUGAAGCUGGACGGGGGACCGUGUCAGGCAGGCAGUUUGACUGGGGCGGUCGCCUCCCAAAGAGUAACGGAGGCGCCCAAAGGUACGCUCAGAUUGGACGGAAAUCAAUCGGCGAGUGCAAAUGCAGAAGCGUGCUUGACUGUGAGACAAACAGGUCGAACAGGGACGAAAGUCGGGAUUAGUGAUCCGGCGGUGCCGAAUGGAAGGGCCGUCGCUCAACGGAUAAAAGCUACCCUGGGGAUAACAGGCUGAUCUCGCCCAAGAGUUCACAUCGACGGCGAGGUUUGGCACCUCGAUGUCGGCUCAUCGCAUCCUGGAGCUGAAUUUGGUUCCAAGGGUUGGGCUGUCCGCCCAUUAAAGCGGUACGCGAGCUGGGUUCAGAACGUCGUGAGACAGUUCGGUCCCUAUCUGUUGUGGGCGUAGGAGAUUUGAGGAGAGCUGUCCUUAGUACGAGAGGACCGGGAUGGACCUACCGCUGGUGCACCGGUUGUUGUGCCAACAGCAUAGCCGGGUAGCUAAGUAGGGAAGGGAUAAGCGCUGAAAGCAUCUAAGCGCGAAGCCUACUCCAAGAUGAGAUCUCCCAUACGCAAGUAGUAAGACCCCUUGAAGACGACGAGGUAGAUAGGUCAGGGAUGGAAGCGCAGCGAUGCGUGGAGUUGACUGAUACUAAUAGGUCGAGGACUUAAUCAA